CCCACCUCAGGCGGCUCAGCCCCGACCUCGCCGACACACACCUCGCAGCUCGCCUAGACCGACCCCACUGAGCACCCCACCCAGCCCUCUCGCAACCCCUUGCUGCAGCCACCAACGACGGCCGAUUCCGGUGAGCCCCGAGGUCUAUGGCUAGCGUGCAGCUCAGCCCCGACCUCGCCUCUCUGCGCUCCGUCUUCCCCUUCGGCAAAAUCUGCCGCACGCGGCCUCCAUCGCUCGUGCCCCACCCCUACCUGCGAAUAGGGUUUCAGGCACGGCGCCGCUUACGUUGCCAGCGCAGCUCUGGUGUCCAGCUCCUCCGGCAGCGUCCCGUCAUCCCCUCUCUGCGGCGGUUGUGCAUGGCAUCCCCAUGGUGAGCUCCUCUCCUUCCUCCGUGUCACUUGGACCAAAAUUUAGGAUAUGUAAAAUCAGUUUAGGAUCUGCAAAAUCAAAAUAAAUUGAUCCAAAAACUUGAAAAGAUAACGUUGUCAUCAAGAGAAAAUAGUCCAUGGUCUUUGUUCAUAUGAAUACCACAAUUAGCCAAUGCUUUGCUGCGAUGUUAGAACUCACAGCUUGCCGUAGAUGAGAUUGUCGUCGUACAUCGGACAGCAAAGCGAGCACGUACACAACUAGCUAAGCAGGAAAGCAGGUAGGUGGAUGCUUUUCACGUAGGCUAGCUUAUGAAGCGAACUAAUCUCCGACGGCUAAGUUAAUCGAACUGUAGAGACGAGAUAAACACAACAGAACAAGCACGCACAAGAUUGAUCUUUUUUCCUCUCUGCUAUAGCUUCCUAGAGGCUUUUCUCCUUUAUUUGUAAUAGCUAUUUAAGGACUCCAUGACCUAUACGUAUUAGUAUUCUAGGACUAAACCGACUAUGACUCUUAUCAGUUAUCACGUAUAUCACUAAAACUCUAACCAAACGUACUAAAUUUGGAAUAUCUAAUAUGCGAGUUGUGAUGCCCAAAUCGGAUUGAUUCAGCUAGUAGUUCAGUAAGAACAGAUUGAUUAUUUCAUAUGAAUACUUCACUGUUUCAGGAACAAUUUCACUUGAAUAGUCAUGCUAAUGUUCCAGUAUUAUUGGUUUGUAGUUUAUUGUUUAUAAAAUCAUUUUCAUGUACAAAAGAUUCAAGUUUCCCUUUUUCUCUUAGAAACUAAAAGAUUCAAAGGAGUAAAUUAAGAAUACUGUAUUCUUAUUACCUCGUGAGUAGCUAGCAACACUGAACCUUCAGUAUCAGAGUAAAGCAAGGCCAUGUGCAUUAAACAUGCAGACUUGGAUAUUUUUUAUUUGCUUUGAUCAGUCAUUCUGACUGGUCUCUUUCAACAAGUAGUAACUAGACAGAUAGUUGUUGAUAAGCUGUGGUAAGUUACACUAGCAGUCUCAAACAAGACAGCCGGAACUACCAAGUCAAAGCAUUAAGCCUUUCAGAAUUAGUUGUGUGUGAGGACUGCUUGUUUCUAGCUAGGUAGUAACUUAUUCUAAUACUCUGUUAUGUGAGGUCAUACUCACGGCAUACUACUAAAAUACUAUGUUGGUUUAUCUUUGCGUGGCCAUUUUCCUUAAACAUAAGCUAACACAUGCAGUUUUCGCACAUCUUGGUAACUCUGGUUUAUUUGUACAGCCAAAAUAUAUUUAAUUUAAAUCCACUUUUUAUGUAGAAAGGUUAUUUUUUCUGUAGUAUUUGUUUCGAUUUGUAGAAUUUCAGUUUCAUAAUACACAUGAACAGAAUGCGUGAUGUGGUGAAUGAUUUGCUUAGUACGGUGGUUAUGACAGCCAUGAUAGUACAGUUGGAUAUUUUUUAUAGCAUUCUUUUGUAUCUCAGACUGUUUGUUCAACUGGUGAUGAUUUUAUGGGCAUGUAUUGUUGUUUGUAGAUAUUUCGCAAGGAACCAUUUUUCUACGGCCAUGAAAACCAUCAUCAACUUGUUAGGAUUGCAAAGGUGCUUAUUCGGUUUAUUCCAUUUAUUCAUUGAAAAUAUAGUUAUAACUGGUUAAGGAUUGUUUUUCAUGUUUUACUCCUCACGCACUGUUUUAUAUGGAUUCUUUGGUGGCAUCUGAUAUUGUUUAGACUUGCCAUAUACCAUUUGCUAUUACUUACCUUAGUGACCGAGUGGUUGUGGUUCAAUGUUUUGAUGAAUUGUACUGUGCACAAAUAAGUUACCACCUCAUUGUUUCACGUUAAGAGCUCUAAAUUCUGACAACACUCCUGCAUUGACAUGUACUUGGAACAAAUGGGCUAAAUGCUUAUUUGAACAAAUACAAAAUUGAGCUUGACCCUCAACUUGAAGCCCUUGUUGGAAGGUAUAUUGCCACUCAGCAGUCAUUUUGAUGAUGCAAGAUCUCAAUUUGCCAUUUGAUUUAUAGAUUGACCAUGCAAUUAUACUUUCUUUUCUCAUCUUGAACUCCUAGGUGCUGCAUGAUGUGUUUGAGCAUCUGGUUUGUAGAUAGAUUGAUUAGUGUGGUUGCUUUGAGGAUGUCAUGUUACAAUGGUUGUUGUUCUAUUUUUUGAAGGUUCAAUGCAGGCCCAUCCAUACUUCCUCCAGGAGAGGGCUGCCGAAAAUAGCAGGACUUGUGCGCAAUAGCAAUAAUUAUCUUGAGAUUGAACGAGUAGCGCUUGACGAAGCUGAAUUAGUCUCAGUCUCCUUGCAUUGAGCACCCCUAGUAAGUAAAUUAGAUGAACCAUGAGCUUUAGUGUCUAUGAGUUGAUGUCAUUGUUGACCUUAGCCUACUUUAUUUCCCUCGGUUAGGUACUGCAAAUGGUAAAUGUAGCAAUACUUAUGGAAAAUCUUGUCAACACAAGCAGUCUUCUCAGUUAUGGUGUUGAUAUGAAUUAGGGAUGGCACGCAGGGUUUGGGUGGAGCCACCCCAUACCCUUACCCGUCCCCUCUAAGCUUAG
rnacentral:lncRNA from 1 species